AACACAUGCAAGUCGGAUGUGCCGCAAGGUGCAUGGCAGACGGGUGAGUAACGCGUGGGGAAUCUACCUCUUUGUGGGGAAUAACGCUCCGAAAGGAGUGGUAAUACCGCAUGAGAUCCAUGGCUGGGAUGCUGUGGAUGAAACCUGGGGACCGCAAGGCCUGGGGCAAGGAGAGGAUCCUGCGUCUGAUUAGCUAGUUGGUGAGGUAAUGGCCCACCAAGGCGACGAUCAGUAGCCGGCCUGAGAGGGUGAUCGGCCACACUGGAACUGAGACACGGUCCAGACUCCUACGGGAGGCAGCAGUGGGGAAUUUUGCGCAAUGGGCGAAAGCCUGACGCAGCAACGCCGCGUGGGUGAUGAAGGUCUUCGGAUCGUAAAACCCUGUCGUCGGGGACGAAGGUGGAGGGGUUAAUAGCCUCUUUGCUUGACGGUACCCGGAGAGGAAGCCCCGGCUAACUCUGUGCCAGCAGCCGCGGUAAUACAGAGGGGGCAAGCGUUAUUCGGAAUUAUUGGGCGUAAAGGGCGCGUAGGCGGCUUUUUAAGUGAGAUGUGUAAUCCCUGAGCUCAACUUGGGAACUGCAUCUCAUACUGGGAGGCUAGAGUACUGGAGAGGGUGGUAGAAUUCCACGUGUAGCGGUGAAAUGCGUAGAGAUGUGGAGGAAUACCAGUGGCGAAGGCGGCCACCUGGACAGUAACUGACGCUGAGGCGCGAAAGUGUGGGUAGCAAACAGGAUUAGAUACCCUGGUAGUCCACACUGUAAACGAUGAACACUUGGUGUGGAGGGAGUUGACCCCUUCCGUGCCGUAGCUAACGCGUUAAGUGUCC
rnacentral:rRNA from 1 species